CCUACGGGAGGCAGCAGUGGGGAAUAUUGCACAAUGGGGGAAACCCUGAUGCAGCGACGCCGCGUGAGUGAAGAAGGAUUUCGGUAUGUAAAGCUCUAUCAGCAGGGAAGAAAAUGACGGUACCUGAUUAAGAAGCCCCGGCUAACUACGUGCCAGCAGCCGCGGUAAUACGGAGGGGGCAAGCGUUAUCCGGAUUUACUGGUGGUAAAGGGAGCGUAGACGGCAGCACAAGUCUGGAGGGAAAUGCCGGGGCUUAACCCCGGAACUGCUUUGGAAACUGUGCAGCUAGAGUGGAGGAGAGGUAAGUGGAAUUCCUGGUGUAGCGGUGAAAUGCGUAGAUAUUAGGAGGAACACCAGUGGCGAAGGCAGCUUACUGGACUGUAACUGACGUUGAGGCUCGAAAGCGUGGGGAGCAAACAGGAUUAGAUACCCUGGUAGUC
rnacentral:rRNA from 1 species